rnacentral:rRNA from 1 species
CCCGAUAGGGACUGCGGACGACAUUGUCGAUGCCUGCAAAGUAGACCCGGCGAACUUGUUAAAAUAUGCACGGGGGUUUGAGAAGGGGUGCGCGAGCCCCCCGACACACUCCCCCACCCCGGGAUCUGGCCUGCGUUCCCCUAGCGGGGACUCGGUCAGGCUCCCGGCAACGAACCCCGGCGCUGUCUGCGCCAAGGAACCUUAACUGAAGAGCUGGCCCCCCGAUGUCCCGUUCGCGGUGUGCACGGGAGGCAUAUGCAUCUUUUGAAAUCUAAAACGACUCUCGGCAACGGAUAUCUCGGCUCUCGCAUCGAUGAAGAACGUAGCGAAAUGCGAUACUUGGUGUGAAUUGCAGAAUCCCGUGAACCAUCGAGUUUUUGAACGCAAGUUGCGCCCAAAGCCAUUAGGCUAAGGGCACGUCUGCCUGGGCGUCACGCAUCACGUCGCCCCAACCCCAAUGCCUAGCUUGCUGGGUAUUGCGGGAGCUGGGGCGGAAAUUGGCCUCCCGUCCACGACCGUGCGCGGUUGGCCCAAAAAAAUGAGUUCCUGACGAUGGACGUCACGACAAGUGGUGGUUGAAAGACCUCUUGCAUCAAGUCGUGAGGCACCGAGUCUGUAGCGAGCUCUGACCGUGACCCUUCGCACCUUCUCUAAUGGGAUGGUGCUUCGACCGCGACCCCAGGUCAGACGGGAUUACCCGCUGAGUUUAAGCAUAUCAAUAAAGCGGGAGGAAAGG